GCCGGAAUUGCUAGUAAUGGCAGGUCAGCAUACUGCCGUGAAUACGUUCCCGGGCCUUGUACACACCGCCCGUCACACCAUGAGAGUUGGAGAUACCCGAAGCCUGUGAGCUAACAAACGAGGCAGCAGUCGAAGGUAGAAUCAAUGAUUGGGUGAAGUCGUAACAAGGUAUC
rnacentral:rRNA from 1 species